rnacentral:rRNA from 1 species
CACAUGACUCUCGGCAACGGAUAUCUCGGCUCUCGCAUCGAUGAAGAACGUAGCAAAAUGCGAUACCUGGUGUGAAUUGCAGAAUCCCGUGAACCAUCGAGUUUUUGAACGCAAGUUGCGCCUGAGGCCUUUUGGUUGAGGGCACGUCUGCCUGGGCGUCACGC